AUUACUCCAUUAGGAGCCCCAAAAGAGAGAUAAUGAGCCUCGAGGUACCGAAUCCACUUAGAACAAAUUUGUGUGUGUUUUUAAGAGUUUAUCUUUUUAUUUAUUUCCAUUAAUUUCUUUUACAUAUUUUUUUUCAUAUUUCUCCCCUUUUACAUAUUUUAUACAUAUUUCUCCCCCUUUUUGUCAUCAUAUCAAAAAGGAGGUAAUCACACACAAGCAAUGGCACAACCAAUCAUCAAAUGGCACAUAAUUGAAGAUAAAAUGUCUACUCAUUGUAUUGAUAUGAAUGUGAAUACAUUUGAGCAUACGAUAAGUAAAGCAAAACAAGACAAAAAACACAACUCAAACACA
rnacentral:lncRNA from 1 species